rnacentral:rRNA from 1 species
UACGAAGGGAGCUAGCGUUGUUCGGAAUCACUGGGCGUAAAGCGCACGUAGGCGGAUCUUUAAGUCAGAGGUGAAAUCCCAAGGCUCAACCUUGGAACUGCCUUUGAUACUGGGGAUCUCGAGUCCGGAAGAGGUUGGUGGAACUGCGAGUGUAGAGGUGAAAUUCGUAGAUAUUCGCAAGAACACCAGUGGCGAAGGCGGCCAACUGGUCCGGUACUGACGCUGAGGUGCGAAAGCGUGGGGAGCAAACAGG